rnacentral:lncRNA from 1 species
GGCCUUCAAAGCUGAAUAGAGAACCAUUUAAGUCCUCCACCAGGCAGAGGCACAGGCUCUGGCUUUGCACUGCCGAGCCAAUUUUCAGCCAGCAAUAAGUGAAAAUAUAUGAGAGUAAUAUAAAGAGGAAAAGAAAGCAUUUGGUCCUUUUUCAACACAAUUGCCUGGCCUUUGUCUGUCGCGCCCCGUCACCCUUUUGGGUUGAGCGGGGUCUAUGGGGUCUAUGGGGCCUGUCGGCGCCUUUGAAGAUUCAUUGCCUGCCCUGCCGCUGGCCAACGUUCCGCUGUGGGCGAGUAUCAAAAGGCAAGUGGAAAAACUACCGCUCAGCAAGGCACUUUAUUCCAAUAACUUAACGAAUUCCACUGAAAUAAAACCCAAGUAAUUCCACCCACAUGUCGAAAGAUAUAUUAUGUCUUGCUAUUAUUUCGAAGGAGAAACGCACUUGCUAGUGUUGUCCAGAUUCCGGAUUCUCCUUUCUCGUGGAAGAAACGUCUCUGCCAUUAAAUUCUUGUUACAUGUACAUAUCCUGAGUCUCAAGUGGAAUUUUUCCAGACCAAUGAAGAACUCUCCUCGGAUGUAGCCAAAUCCAUCUCUGUAGGUCCCUCCAGUUUCGAUCAAAGUACACACUGCCGUCGAAGCUACUUUCAAUGACCGUCAAUGCAGAAAACAUUCUGUCGUUUGAUUUAUUUUUGAGAGCUGAUACAAUUUUUCAUUUAUAACCUGAUCCCUGAAGUCAG